rnacentral:rRNA from 1 species
UACAGAGGUCUCAAGCGUUGUUCGGAUUUACUGGGCGUAAAGGGCGCGUAGGCGGUCAGCACAAGUCAGUUGUGAAAUCUCCGGGCUUAACUCGGAAAGGUCAACUGAUACUGUGCGACUAGAGUGCAGAAGGGGCAACUGGAAUUCUCGGUGUAGCGGUGAAAUGCGUAGAUAUCGAGAGGAACACCGGUGGCGAAGGCGGCGAUCUGGACGAUGACUGACGCUGAGACGCGAAAGCGUGGGGAGCAAACAGG